GGGCCGCUAGCUCAGUUGGUAGAGCAGCUGACUCUUAAUCAGCGGGCCGCAGGUUCGAGUCCUGCGCGGCCCACCA
rnacentral:tRNA from 1 species